AACGUUGGCGGCAUGCUUUACACAUGCAAGUCGAACGGCAGCGCGGGCUUCGGCCUGGCGGCGAGUGGCGAACGGGUGAGUAAUGCAUCGGAACGUGCCCAGUAGUGGGGGAUAGCCCGGCGAAAGCCGGAUUAAUACCGCAUACGACCUGAGGGUGAAAGCGGGGGACCGAAAGGCCUCGCGCUAUUGGAGCGGCCGAUGUCGGAUUAGCUAGUUGGUGGGGUAAAGGCUUACCAAGGCGACGAUCCGUAGCUGGUCUGAGAGGACGACCAGCCACACUGGGACUGAGACACGGCCCAGACUCCUACGGGAGGCAGCAGUGGGGAAUUUUGGACAAUGGGGGCAACCCUGAUCCAGCCAUGCCGCGUGCGGGAAGAAGGCCUUCGGGUUGUAAACCGCUUUUGUUCGGGAAGAAAUCCUCUGGGCUAAUACCCCGGGGGGAUGACGGUACCGGAAGAAUAAGCACCGGCUAACUACGUG
rnacentral:rRNA from 1 species